GUCGUCGAACGGGCUGGAGUGGAAAACACUGCUCGACCCCGACAUGGUCAACGAGUCCCCGGUUCAAAUCCGGGCGGCGCCUCCA
rnacentral:tRNA from 1 species